CCACCCUGAGUUACCGCCUGUGCAGCUCUGGCCACCUGGCUCCCCAUACUAGCUGCUGAUAUUUGGAGUUCUUACAACAUGGCAGACAUUGACAACAAAGAACCGUCUGAACUUGAUCAAGAUUUGGAUGACGUUAAAAAAGUAGAAGAAGAAGAAACUGGUGAAGAAACAAAAAUCAAAGCACGUCAGCUAACCUUUCAGAUAAUGCAAAAUCCUCAGAUUCUUCAGCUCUUCAAGAAAGACUUGAUGGUAUAAUAGAAACACCAACAAUGUAUCCAACAGGAUACACUGAAAGCCUGCCUAGGGUAGUUAAAAGACAAGUGAAUGCUCUCAAAAACCUGUAAGUUAAAUGUGCACAUAUAGAAGCCCAAUUCUAUGAGGAAGUUCACAAUCUUGAAAGGAAGUAUGCCCUUCUCUGUCAGCCUCUAUUUGAUGAGUGAUUUGAGAUUAUUAAUGCAAUUUAUGAACCUACAGAAGAAGUGAAUGGAAACCAGAUGAAUAACAUGAGAUCUCAGAGGAGUUGAAAGAAAAGGCCAAGACUGAAGAUGAGAAAAAAGAUGAAGAAAAAGAAGAUGCCAAAGGAAUGCCUGAAUUUUGGUUAAUUGUUUUUAAGAAUGUUGACUUGCUCAGUGAUAUGCUUCAGGAACGUGAUGAACCCAUUCUGAAGCACUUGGAAGAUAUUAAAGUGAAGUUCCCAGAUGCUGGCCAGCCCAUGAGUUUUGUCUUAGAAUUUCACUUUGAAACCAAUGAAUAUUUUAAAAAUGAAGUGCUGACAAAGACAUAUAGGAUGAGGUCAGAACCAAGUGAUUCUGAUCCCUUUUAUUUUGAUGGACCAGAAAUUAUGGGUUUUACAGGGUGCCAAAUAGAUUGGAAAAAGGAAAGAAUGUCACUUUGAAAACCAUUAAGAAGAAGCAGAGAGACAAGGGACGUGGGACAGUUCGUACUCUGACUAAAACAGUUUCCAAUGACUCUUUCUUUAAUUUUUUUUUUGCCCCCCUGAAGUUUCUGAGAGCGGAGAUCUGGAUGAUGCUGCUGAAGCAAUCCUUGCUGCAGACUUCGAAAUUGGUCACUUUUUACCUGAGUGUAUAAUCCGAGGAUCAGGGUUAUACUUUACUGGGGAAGCUACUGAAGAUGAUGAUGAUGAUUAUGAUGAAGAAGGUGAAGAAGCGGAUGAGGAAGGAGAAGUAGAAGGAGAUGAGGAAAACGAUCCAGACUACGACCCAAAGAAGGAUUAAAAUCCAGCAGAGCACAAGCAGUAA